rnacentral:lncRNA from 1 species
UUACAUGUGGAACUUAGUUUGACUUCAUUUAUAUGCUUCUAACGUGGUUGAACAUAGAGGAUGAUAGAACCGAAAUGGGCAUGUGUGAUUGGACCCUCAAGUUGUGUGAAUGUGAGAAUUGACUUGGACAAUAGAAAACAUGGGUGACAUUGACAUAGAAACAAGAUUUGCAUCGAGAGAUGAACCGUUGAAUAUAGUUUAACCCAUUUUGACAUCGUCAAAGGUAAAGCCUUGAGAGUGGCAAGAAUGAUUAGGUAGAAACCUAUCGUGAUAUUGGCAUUGUGACUAGUGGCUAUGAGUCCUCAAGUUGAGGGUUAGAUCGAUGCUCACAUUUCGUCUUGGUUUGAGGGAGGUCGCUCCCUCUCGAGCGGUGCGCUCUGGAGUUGGUCACCACUGGGCGUGGUAAAGUCCCACCAGUUGACGGUCCCUAGGGAGGUUCGAGUCCCCCGUUAUUAAGGGAUUUGGGUUGUGAGUUAUUGGGGUUAACAGAGUUAACCGGUAAGAUUGGGUAAAAGCCAAAAUUUGAUUAUGAUUGGAGCAUGCAUGCAUUUCUAUAUCGCAUUGAAAUUAUAUGUCCACUGACUUCUUUCUUGCAGGCAUAGUAUUAGUUGCAUUAGUAGUGGUUACUUUUCUUCCUUUGAAAUACUUAUGCCUGGAUGGACCUAGUGGGUAAGUCGGCGAGGUCGGAUGCCGAGCCCACUGGGAACUUCGUUGUAGUUCUCACACCACUAACCCUACAGGUCCUAGCACGAGCGGGGCGGCGGAGGACCGAGGCAAGGGUUUGGCGCCAUAGGUAGCGGCCACCGGGACUUUACACUUUUUGUAGUCAUUCCUUUUUGUUAUACACGUAUCAACUUUCUUUUGUUGAUUUAGAGAUGUAAAGUUGUAAACAAUCAUGUAUUUGGUGGAUAACUAAAUGUAAAAGAUAUGAUGGUUGAAUGGAGUGUAAUAACUUUGUUUACUUGAAUUUGGUUUAAAUGAAAUCAAAU